AUUUUAUUAUUAGAGGAUUGGAUUGGAUGACAUAGAUAGAGUCAAAAUCCCAAGUCAAAGCUAUCUAAAAUUGGUUAAUAGAUUACACGUCGGAAAAAAAGGCGUUUGGGUACAAAAGAUUCAGACGAAAGAAUCUCCCCCACCAACCAAACCUCUCAUUCCUAACGCCUCCCUCGCUCCUCCUGUCCUUUCCCCCAAACGCCGAGGGACGGAGGCAGAGAUCCACGCCGUUGCUUCACCCAUAAUCGCCAUAACUAAGGAUAAAGCAUACUACGUUACAUGGGUUAUUAUCAACCACAGACAAAGAAGUUUUCACUCGAGCAUGUGAGGGAAUCUCUCAUCGCCAUCUCUUAUUGUGAACCCGAAAGUUUUUCACAUGUGACUAAAUCUGAAAUCCCAAAAGUUGAGGUUGUGGCUACUCAAACUAAAGUUGACACAGUCAGCAAUGAACUAAGACUGAAACUGAUAUCAAUUGCUUCGUAUUCCCCAUCAAAUUGCAACGGCUAUGGUGAGGUUUAAGGCCUCCACCGGUUCCACAUAUUGGUGUUGAUAUGCUCAUGAUAUAAAUAUGGGUGACAAUUGUAUAAAAUUAUAUAAUUCGUGCUACUUUUGUAACAUUUGACAGUAUAAAUAUGAUAUAUACCCUCAAAUGGGUUAAAAUUGUGAUUGAA